rnacentral:rRNA from 1 species
UACAGAGGGUGCGAGCGUUGUCCGGAAUCACUGGGCGUAAAGGGCGCGUAGGUGGCGAGCCAAGUCCAUGGUGAAAGCUCGAUGCUCAACAUCGAGUCGGCCACGGAUACUGGUGCGCUUGAGCACUGUAGAGGCUAAUGGAAUUCCGGGUGUAGCGGUGGAAUGCGUAGAGAUCCGGAAGAACACCGGUGGCGAAGGCGGUUAACUGGGCAGUUGCUGACGCUGAGGAGCGAAAGCGUGGGGAGCGAACAGG